rnacentral:rRNA from 1 species
UGGGGAAUCUUGCGCAAUGGGGGAAACCCUGACGCAGCGACGCCGCGUGCGGGAUGAAGGCCUUCGGGUUGUAAACCGCUUUCAGCAGGGACGAGGCCUUAUGGUGACGGUACCUGCAGAAGAAGCUCCGGCUAAAUACGUGCCAGCAGCCGCGGUAAUACGUAUGGAGCAAGCGUUAUCCGGAUUCAUUGGGCGUAAAGCGAGCGCAGGCGGUCAAUUAAGUCUGAUGUGAAAGCCCCCGGCUCAACCGGGGAGGGUCAUUGGAAACUGGUUGACUGGAGUGCAGAAGAGGAGAGUGGAAUUCCAUGUGUAGCGGUGAAAUGCGUAGAUAUAUGGAGGAACACCAGUGGCGAAGGCGACUCUCUGGUCUGUAACUGACGCUGAGGCUCGAAAGCGUGGGUAGCAAACAGG